AUUCUGGUGUCCUAGGCGUAGAGGAACCACACCAUCCACCGAAUUUGGUGGUUAAACUCUACUGCGGUGACGAUACUGGAGGGGAGGUCCUGCGGAAAAAUAGCUCGACGCCAGGAUGUUAAAAAGCUUAACACCCC
rnacentral:rRNA from 1 species